ncrna:Heliconius melpomene (postman butterfly) microRNA hme-mir-1000 precursor
CUCGGCCAUAUUGUCCUGUCACAGCAGUAAGUUCAAUCUACUGCUGUAGCCGGACAUGCCGGUUGAG